UACCAGCUCUCCGAGUGGUGUGGAUGUUUAUUGGGCCUAAAGCAUCCGUAGCUGGCUGGACAAGUCCCCUGUUAAAUCCACCGAUUUAAUCGUUGGUGUGCGGGGGAUACUGUUCGGCUAGGGGACGGGAGAGGCCGACGGUAUUUCCGGGGUAGGGGUGAAAUCCUAUAAUCCCGGGAAGACCACCAGUGGCGAAGGCUGUCGGCUAGAACGCGCCCGACGGUGAGGGAUGAAAGCUGGGGGAGCGAACCGGAUUAGAUACCCGGGUAGUCCCAGCUGUAAACGAUGCAGGCUAGGUGUUUGGGCGGCCACGUGCCGCUCUAGUGCCGCAAGGAAGCUGUUAAGCCUGCCGCCUGGGGAGUACGGCCGCAAGGCUGAAACUUAAAGGAAUUGGCGGGGGAGCACCACAAGGGGUGAAGCUCGCGGUUU
rnacentral:rRNA from 1 species